ACGAUAGACUGUUUUCAUGAUAUUUUGUGUUCCUGUCUGCAUAGCACUAAUAUUAUCCGCCGUCUACCUGAGCCGGAAGUAUUGCAUCUUGCGACUUAAUGCUGAUGAAGUGCCAUUCUGGUAGACAGUGCACAAGUGAUACUGCUUUUCACCAAGCAAUUUCAUAAUUCCAACAUGAUUCUCAUCUAUAGCCAGUCAGUUUAAACUCAACCGACGAGUUGUCAAUCCUGUUGUUUACGGUCUCCGAAAUGAAGAGAACGGGAUUACAGACAGAAACUAAGACAUAUUGGGAUAUUCCUGAGGGCAAUUAAUCACACGAAGUGUUUUAUCCUGUUCAAAGAGGCAAUCGUUGAAUAUAACGCUGUUUGGCGACCGUCUGCAAAAUAUAAUGAUGGAAUAAUUGGAUACCACUAAAGUGCAUGGGUGAACUUUCUUAGAAUGUGUCUGGUUUACGAUUCUUACGUGACAGGAAGUACCGACAAAUGUGUUAACUUUAAAAUACAUGGAGGAUUGAAAGAUAUGUGUCUGUAUGGAAGUGUUUAAAUCUUUUAAUGAUGAUGAUUUGGUGAAAACCUAAAUGUUUCGAUUCAUAAGAGGUAAUCUUUAUAGAAUAUAUGAAAAAGUACAUAAGUAAAUCUUAAUAUCAGCUUUAAUUUUAUCAUUUCUCACGAAGUAAACGAAAUAUUUGGAAAAUGAGAGUAUUGUAUUGAGUAUUAUGAAAUGUUUCUGGUUAUAGAAAUAAUACAACUGGU